rnacentral:rRNA from 1 species
GUGUCGUGAGUAGCGCAGCUAACGCACUAAGUAGACCGCCUGGGGAGUACGGUCGCAAGAUUAAAACUCAAAUGAAUUGACGGGGGCCCGCGCAAGCGGUGGAGCAUGUGGUUUAAUUCGACGCAACGCGAAGAACCUUACCUACUCUUGACAUCCAGAGAAGACUGCAGAGAUGCGGUUGUGCCUUCGGGAACUCUGAGACAGGUGCUGCAUGGCUGUCGUCAGCUCGUGUUGUGAAAUGUUGGGUUAAGUCCCGCAACGAGCGCAACCCUUAUCCUUAGUUGCCAGCGCGUAAUGGCGGGAACUCUAGGGAGACUGCCGGUGAUAAACCGGAGGAAGGUGGGGACGACGUCAAGUUAUCAUGGCCCUUACGAGUAGGGCUACACACGUGCUACAAUGGUAUGUACAGAGGGAGGCAAGCUGGCGACAGUGAGCGGAUCUCUUAAAGCAUAUCGUAGUCCGGAUCGCAGUCUGCAACUCGACUGCGUGAAGUCGGAAUCGCUAGUAAUCGCAAAUCAGAAUGUUGCGGUGAAUACGUUCCCGGGCCUUGUACACACUGCCCGUCACACCAUGGGAGUGGGUUGCAAAAGAAGUAGGUAGCUUAACCUUCGGGAGGGCGCUUACCACUUUGUGAUUCAUGACUGGGGUGAAGUCGUAACAAGGUAACCGUAGGGGAACCUGCGGCUGGAUCACCUCCUU